UUAGCCGGAUGAUCACAGUGCGGGUGGAUAACGAAAAUAGUCGGUCUGUUUUCGGGAAGUUUUCCAGUGUUGUUCCAGAAAAUCAGUAGUCAGUGGAUGAUGGUCAAUGAUGCGGAUGCGGUAAUGAUAAUGGGCGAUGACACAUUCCAUCAAUAGUGUGAAGAUUACACAACAAUUCGAGAUCCAAACGUUGAAGUCACCAUUGCUCGAUGAAGCACUCUACUUCCGUGUCGAGAGCGAACAACCGGGACUCGGGGAGUUGUUUCGGUGCUGCCCAGAAGGCCCGGAGGGGGACGGACGUCAUCCAAACAGGCGGCUGCCUCGCAACCGUAAAACACCUUGAACUUUUUGCAAUAUGGAUGAAAAAAAACGACCACAACACAAACUCAGAAGUGAGCGACAGAAAAAAAACCAUUAAUUUCGAACUUGAACUUGAAUAACACAACGACCGUCCCGUCACAAACACACACACAUACAGGCAAUGAGAACAGCCGGAGUGAGGUAAGUCCCAAAUCGAUAAUGAUGAUUGCGUGUUGCACUUGGAAUCGUGAGAACUUGAUGGUUGCGAAGUGGGUGAGUGUGCGCGAGUGAGGGAACUCACUGGGAAUCGGUGGAAGGCGUUUUGCUGUUUGUGUUGGAUCGAUGGUACUCACUCCUACACUCUGGUUGGUUAGGGAGCUAACGUUCGAUUGAUCGAUCGAUCGGUGAAAUGGUAAGUUGAUCGGUUCGGCCGGAUGGAUCAACUAUGAUCUUAGCCUGCCAUUCUGACACCACAAAGGAAAAAAAAGUUGAUCGGUUGUGCUUUGAAAGUGUUAAACGAUCGAAAUUAUUAAAGAUCUCGCGUGUUUUUUGUUGGUUUUUUGUGUGUUUGCUUUUGUUGGUCAAUAAGCAUGCUGUCAAAAUUCACUUUGAGAGAAAUUUCCGGACAAACCGUAGCUAACCUAGAAUGGAUGUUAACAUUUUAUGAAAGAGGAAAGUUUUCUCUUUCGUCUGCUGUUGUGAUUUAUAAUCGGCGAUUAAUGGUUUGUCGAGAACUUCCUCUCACAGUGAAUUUUGACAGUAUGCUUAUGACCAUUUUCAAAAAACGCGAGAGAUCUUCAAUUUGAACAAAAAAAAAUAUCUUUUCAUAUGUAUUGAUGUUACGCUUAUAAUAGCCCAGGAAUAGUUUCAAGUUUCAAGCUAACGCAUCGUGCCGUGCCAGAUAAACAGACUUCACGAAAAAGAUACUUAAAUUUUUGCAAGUUGGGGGUUCCCUAAAAUAUCUGAAGAAUGGGAAGAAUUGGUAGAAUAAUCUGUCUAGUAUGGCAGUAGAGCCUAUUGCGACCCUAUUCCGCACCUCUUUGUUUCAAACCAAGCAUAUGGGAUAAUGACAAUAUUUAUUUGGCUAAAACGGGUUUGCAAAAAUAAGCUCAAGUUAUAUUUAUUUGUUGUGGACAUAUUUAUUUAGCACUAUCCUCUAAAUCCAACUAUAAAUAAAAAUUUAAAGAAAUACUGUGUGCCAUGAGCCGGAGAUUACCGCCUCAUAUCUCGCUAUUCCGCCACAAUUAUAUUUAACUUUACGCUGCAGCGCUGAAACAAAUCCUUAUUUUACCUGGAGAAACCGUUUAUGAUAAAUUCACUUUAAAGGCACUCGUUAAACGGUGGGAUUGGUCUAGUGUUAUAAUACGUAAUUCACAUGAUCGCCAUGUUUUUUUCUGAUAACCUACUACAAUCAGAACAAGCUUUUUGCAUCCAGCACACAGGAAAGAACCAGCUGUGCGGCCAAACUAAAACAAACAUCAAAAUAUAUUGUAAUGCAAUUUCAAGUAAAAAUAAACCACUUUUUCAAGUUAUUUAACUGAUUGCUGGUAGCAGCGAUUUUAUUUUCAUCUGGACAUAAAAUUCGGCUCGGGAUGCGACAAUGGUUGAUGUGAAACUAGUCAUCACCAGUUGUUAGUCUUCGCAUGAUUAUUUCCUGCGAGUGCAAUACUGGGUGCUUUUUUUCAAACAGGUGAUGAGGUUCUUUCAUGUGUGUGUGAUGUUUACGUUCGUUCAUAAGCUAAAAAUGGUUUAAUUAUUCCAAAACUGCAUAUUUUAACUUUUACUGCAAGAUAAAUAUUUUGAAGUCGCUCUCAUAAUUCAUUAUUUCUUAUUUCAAAACUUUUUAUUUCGAAAAUGAAUUGAAUGUUUGCCGAAAGCAUUUUAUUUGAAUGGAUAAUUGAAAUUUAGAUCUCUGCUAAAAUCAUUCUACUAUAUUUUCAAAUCUAUUCUAGACGUCCAAGGCCCUUCUAGAACUCUCCUAAAAUUAUUAAAAUAUACCCAUUUCCAACACAAAUUUUAGUACUCAAAAUCCAUCUAUUUUCUUCUAAAAAUAUUCUGUAACAUUUGUAAUACAAAUUGUAAUGUACCCUGAACCGUUCUUGAACUUUCGAAAAAUUAUUCCAAUGUGCCUGUCUUUAUAUUCUAGUACACCUGCAAUCCAUUCUAGUAUACACUUUUAACAAUCUAGGAACCCAUACGCUCAUUCUAUUACAUUUUCAGACCCAUUCUAAUUCACUCAAACUAUUCUAAUGCACACCAAAACAAUUCUAGUACACUCCUAAAAUCAUUCUAGCAAUUUUCUAGGAACAUUCUAAAACACCCCUAAAUCAUUCUGGUAUACCUUAAAUACAAUUCGUGAACUCUCGUAAAAGAAAUCUUAUAUAACCCUAAAAUUAUUCUCAAGCGCUUACAAAUCAAGUAUAAUGCAUCCCUAAAUUAUGGUAGUACACCUUUGAACGAGUAGACCACUAAUCUACUCAAUUCCAAAACCAUCCUUAAAAUCCUAAAAUCAAGGUAAUAUUGAGAGGAAUGCGAAAAUGGUUUCAGGCUGUUUUACGCUUUGCUACGCAUACGUCCCACCUACUUCUCCUAUAUUUUUAUUGGAUUUCUAGUUAGCGUUGACAUAUAAAUACGAAUUCUUUUAAUCAACUUUUGGGGAUGUAAGCAGUACAACUAGCACAAAAAUUAUGUGAAUUUGUUAUUUACGUUUUAGUUAUAGUCAAUUAAAACUCGAAAAUCGCUGUUUUUACAAUAAAUUCGGAUGUGUCUGAACUAAAAAUCCUAGAGAUCUAAAAAAAUUUUGUGCAAGUAUGUUGAACCAAAAAAUAGGUUUUGAGCAGAAUUUUUCGUACGUCAAUUUUUUCGAAAGGAAAUCAAAAUAUGCAAAAAUGGAGUUUAUCAUUUUGUUGGUCUAUAAAAGAUUUUUACAGACAGGGAUAACUUCUCAUCUAUCAUAAAAAUAGACUAUGUAGUUUUUGGGGUCACUGAUUACGAUUAUGAUAACCGAAUUUGAAAUAUCAAAAUGGCGGCGAAAUUUGCGAAUUUUGUUACAAUGAGCAUAAAACUCGAUUUAUGAGAUUUUGGGGUCGCUGAUUACGAUUCUGAUGUCAGAAUCAGAAUCAGCGACCCCGAAAACCCUCCUGUAAAACGUUUUAGGCCAAUAUAAAAAAACACGAAACUUAGCCAAGCAGUCGCCGUAUUGGAUCCGCCAUUUUGGAUUUUUCAUUUUCGACGUUGAAAUCAGUAUCAACGACCCCGAAAACUCCCUUGUAGGACGUUAUAGGCCAAUAUAAAAAACAUGAAAUUUAGCCAAGCACAGUCGCCAUAUUGGAUCCGCCAUUUUGAAUUUUACGUUUUCGACGUUAGAAUAAGAAUCAGCGACUCCGAAAACCCCCUUGUAAAACGCUUAGGCCAAUUAAAAAAAAACAUGGAUAUUGGAUCCGCCAUUUUGAAUUUGAAUUUAACAACGAAACAAUGAAAAAAUCGCGUCGCAAAGGGUUAAGAAUGAUUUUAAAGGCGUACUAGAAUGAUUUUAGGAAAUACUAGAAUGGCUACUAGGGAUACUAGAAUGGUUGAAGGAUGUAAUAGAAUUGGUUUAAGAGGUGUUCUAGAAUACAUUUAGAGGCAUCUUCUAGAACACCUCUAAAACCAAUUCUAUUACAUUCCUCCACCAUUCUAGUAUCCCGCCGAUUGUUCCAGUAAGCCCCUAAAACCAUUGCGAAGCAUUCCUAAAAUCAUUCAAGUAAACCUCUAGAAUCAUUUAUAGACAGCCUGAAACCUUUUUCGCAUUCCCCUCAAUAAUUGUAGUACUAAUUUGAAAACAUGCUUGUAAUUCUCUAAAACGAUUCUAGUACGCCUCUAAGCUAUUCUAGUACAUCCAAAAGCCAUUCUAGUACAUCCUCAAACCUAGACCGAAACCAUUUUAGAAAACCCCUGAAAUUACAGUGAAACUUUCCUAAACUCAUUCUUGUACACCGUUUACAACCGUUCUAACCUUGUACGCAACUCACCUGUAUUCAAUUUCCAAUUCCGCACAUAGGGCUAGAUAAUUUUCCGUUUUUAUCAACUUUUUGACCCGAGUUUGAGUAUUGAAAGACCUUGAAUUUUUGUAACUGGUGGAACCAUAUGCUGUUACUUGGAUUCCGAGAGUUUGCUUGGGUUUUUUUAAUGGCUCAUCCAUAAUUUAUGACGUUUUUCAAAGAAGAAAGACUAUUGUGGCCUUUUGUCAAAGUUUAUGGCAAAAAUUAGAUAGAAACAAUAAAUCACGUGACAUCAUGCAGGGAAACCAUGUCAACUUACGUAAAAAUACGUCGUUUCAUUGAAAAUUGUAAAAGUGAUACAGCUAGCAAUUUAAUAUAAAUUGCAUCGAACCGGCAUGUUUGGUGGCUUCUAAUUGUCGCCAUCUUUUCACAUCGUAUAGAUACGAGUUUUUGAACGUUAGUAACUUUCGUUUUGUACUGAACGGAAUUGCACAAAUUUUGUACCAAUCAUUUGGAAAAAUGUGCACAAAUGACAUUCAAUUUUUCGCACGACGCAAAAACAGAAGCAAUGCGAGAAACCAAAAUUUCACAGUCUAUUUCAGGCACGUAAGAGACCUAAUCGAAUAUUGGAAAGUUGGUUAAGGGCCGCAUGUAUUUUUGUGCGUCAUUCAUCGUUCGCUAGUCGAAUGAGCAGCAUGUUGAUGCGCGGUUAGAUGGUGUGGUCAGAACAAGGCUCUUUAGAUUUUCAUCGCCUAUAGCGUGAUGCGUAGGUUAUUUUUGUUUAAACAGCCUUAUUCUGCAUUUUGGUAGAUCGCUGUUUUGAACGUAUAUGGUUUACUUCCCAAUAAGGGACAGCCAAAUCAAAUGGCUAUCAGAUUCCAUCAAACCACAUUCGUUCGAAAAAUCAAUCCGCCGUAGUGCAGAACAAGGCUGAAUAUUUGUGGGAUGCGCUGCACAGGACCGCAGCGUGCGGUUGACUAGGUUGGCCCCCGCCAAGGGCACCAACCUUAGGGGGCACUGUGAUCUUAAUCUGUUUUAUAAAAAAAAAACAAGUCCGGACAGGAGUGCCAUUUCUAGGUAUUUUAUUGUUUGAAAGCCGAGUUGAAAAAGAAAGCCAAUGUAAAUACCAAAGGGGCGUACUACGCUACGGCCCUUUCAGUCUCAUUCAGAUUUAUUCACAAUAAGUGGUGUUGUCCUCAAAUGUAAAGUGGAUAAAUAAAUAAACAAGGAACAUGUUUCACACUUUUUUGCUCGUUUUCUCAGUUACAUAAAAACAAGUGGACAAAUAUGUGUUCAGGCCCGGUAAAACAGGCCACCUCCUUAAAGCUGUAGCAAAGAUCAUGGAAUAAACCAGAUCAAUUACCAAUCGGGAAAACAGCCCCAUGCCGUAGCAUAAAAUUCUUCGAUGCUGGAAGGAGCUCCGCCAUAUCACAAAGUUGCCAGUACCCAACCUGGACAUAACCGUUCCUACACUAAAUUGAAUCUUUGGUUAUAUUGUCACAUGAGAUUUUUGGUAUUUUUGGAAGUGCUGGAAACUCCUUGUUUAAUCUCAAAUUUCUAAGACCAGCGGCUGUUUGUUUCGAGUUUGCGUCAGGGCUUUCUCGAGCUGAUAUAAUUGGCGGUCUCUCAGGAGAAAAAUUGGAGCCUUUACAAGGAAUCCUGCCUAUAGUUUUUAGGAGCAGUAAAAGAUGUCCCCAUAUGGGAAUCAUACUCUUCCUGAGCCAAGAGAGCAUAAUGAUUUGAUGUGGUGAGUGGUGAAGCUCUUUUAAGUAUUUCCAUAAAGGAGUACUUAGAGCGUCGUUUGAAGUAAUGCUGUAGAUUUCUCGGGAGCUGUCUGUACUCGGAGCAUGGUAACAGAUCAAUCAGUAGACGCACUUUUCCGUAUUGCCAAAUGCUUGAGUCAUCCUCACAAUUCUCUGCCUAACGUCAAUCCUAGCCUUAUUGCUACGAUGGCCCAAUUAUGCAAAUAACCGAACUGAUAAUCUUUUUCGAAGAAGUUGUAAUUAAACGCAAAGCAAUCCGACCAAAGGUCAGCCAACGCGAGUUUGAAGAGACACACCAUGUCGUCUCGUCCAGUGCGAUUGCCAUUCAUAAUCUUUGCGAACUGGAGCAGUGGGUCCUUGAAUCAGCCCCAACCCCGCGCCUCAGUAGAUCCACGCUUGACAAACUCGAGUCGAUGACUACACCGUCGAUUUCAACUUUGUGAGCGGGCGUGUAGAUGUGGUAAUCCUUAACAAAAGGCUUGUCGCCAGUAACCGCAUUAGCUUGCUUUAUGUAGAAUAUCACAAUUCUGAGUUUAUCUGAGCGAACUUUUGAGAUAUCUGUCACGGUCGAAUAUUUUUGCGUCAGAUCCUUCAAAAUCGUUAGAAUAUCUUUGACCGCAAGUACAUCAGAUAUGGACCGACCGAGUUCAAUGUAUAUGGUUUUAAACGGAAAAUCGGAGUCUUUGAUGACGAAUCUUGUCCGACCUCCAUUUUACCAUCAGCUAGAACUUUUCAGGAGAGUUUGUUUAUGAACCGUCCUGGAACCCAGCGUAAAAUGAAAACUGAUAGUAAAACAAAAAAGUAAUCAGCUAUCUUCACUUUAUGUAUAAGCUGUUUGCUGCGAAAUUUCUAAGCAAUUGGUACGAAGAAAAUUUACAAACCUUUUUCAGCUACAAAUCAUAAAUCAACGUCUCCAACAAAAAAAAGACAUGAAAGUUUCUUUGUUUCACUCGCAUAAAAAGAUAGGCGGUCCAGGAUAUUACUGGAAAUUCGCGACGGCACUUGAACUGGUAAUUCAAAUCUAAUGAUAUUUACCGUAAUCAACAAUCCACCAACCAGAUCACAGCUCCUAAAACUUUUCUUCGGUGUCAGUAUUUUGCUAUACGGUGGAGUGUCAAUAUUAAGGAUCUUCCAAACCACUCCGAAAAAUGGGCUUAUGUGAAAUUCGGGCUUUAUCGCAAAAAAUGAUUAUCCCUCUUGAAACAGAUGUCUUUCGUUUAAUUCCACUAUAAUAAUAAUGAAAUGCAGUUGCAUUGCGCAAUCAAGCAACAGAUACUGGCAUUUCGACUACAACGUAUUGUCUUGUUCCGUGUUCAUAUCAGUUGAAAUGUACAUGAUGGUGAAAUUCAACUGCAUUUCAUUAUUAUUAUAGCGAGGAUAAGCGGUGUCGGCACAUUUCUAAGACGACACUAGUAAACCUCUAAACCAUCCUACUUUUGUGGUAAGACCAUUCUAGUAAUUUCCUAAAAAACUUAAAAUUUUUCUAGAGCCAUUCUAAUUCACCAUAAACCCAUUUUUACCUUUUUAAGACGAAUUCUAAAAUCAUUCUCAUAUUCCCCUCAAAUUAUUCUAGUACAGCUCUAAAAACCAUUCCAGUACAGGCACGCGUCUUAGCACUUCUAAUCCUAAUAUCAUACUAUAAAUUCUUUGUGCACUUUCCAUUCAAAAUCUACGCUCACUAGAGCAAAGGGUCUUUGCAACGGUAAACCCCGUGCUUCAGUACAUCUAUGCCAGCCCAACUCGAAUCGGUGACCACACCGUCGAUCUCAACUUUGUGGGCGGAGCUUAUCUUCGAAUUUCAUUCCACCUGUGCAGGCCCGUAGCAUGCGGCUGGUCGGGAAUAGAAAUUUUGAUAUGCUUUAUAAACUUAUUGAGAAUAAGUUAUAAAGUAAGUCAGACUAAGUGUGCAAUUUCCAUGUACACAAAUUGUCAUUGAAAGUCGAACUGGAACGGAGCCAAAGUAAACAAGAAAGGGGUGCAAAACUGAGGCUCCACCGAAGGGCGCCAACAGACCACGGGUCUGCAAAUAACUUUAUUUAGGGAUAUAGCAGGUGUUAGCUCCACCGAUUUUUCGGUGUCCCAUUUCAGAAUGACAGAGACCUAGCGGUCCAUUCCGAGGCUAUUUUUCCUUCGACAAACCCCGCUCAGAUAUAACAUGUGUACCAAAAUUAUACCAGUAUUAUAAUCAAUCUACACACCAAAAAAUAAUGAAAUUUAAACGACAUGUAAAUCAAUACGAAUGUACACAUACAACGAUUGAAUCAAAAAUUUGAUUGAAAAUUACGUUAAAAUCAAUUGGAGCAUCAAACAGCAUACAAUUUUACACUUUCGUUCGUGUAAUAUUACAUGUCAUUCAUUUUACAGCAGUACUCGAGUAAAAAUACAUAAGAAGCGCAUUGGUUUUCCGUUUAAAGAAACUGUAAUUUUCAAUCCACGUGUAAAAUUAUAAUAAAAUUUGUUGAAGAAAGCACGACAAGUCGUGCGUGUUUGUGGUGGAACUUAAUUUUACAUUUAUAUUCAUGCUCCAAAUAUGUGCAUGAAAAUAAACUUAAAAUUACAAAAUAUUUUUUUCUGUGUAUAUAAAUUAGUUUAAAUUUACUUGAAAACAUAAAAGCAUUUAGAAUUUGCCGCGAGUUCCUUAAUGUUAAGCUUCCAUUGGAGCAAUUAUUUUCGCACUCCAAUACUGGUUUGACUAAUCGGACAAAGUGGGCUUCACGAAUCGUACACAGGUUACAAUGGACGAGAACUGUUCUUCAAAUUUGAGACUGACAAUACAAAAUAAGACGGGAGCGAAAAAAAAUUUCACAUUCACUGGCAAUGAUUCCUAGGAUCGUUUUUCUUCUUGUCGGCAACUUGACAUUUUCUAAAAAAAUAUGGUUUUACUAUUUUCGUUCUGAUUUGUGAUUAUUGAAGCAGCAUUAAAAAUCAGUGUGAAAGGUUUAAUUUUAAGUACUAACAACUUUAAAUCUGUUUAUUUUACACGGGACGUUGCGUUAGCUUGACGGUGCCAUUCAUUUUGUUUUACAUUUUUAAUUUCUUCAAAUAAGACUAUUGAAAUUCUGAACUAGGUGAUCAAUUCUAUAGAUUUAUGUAAAAACUAAGGUAACUAGUAUUACAUUUCGAUGUACAAAGGGGAAUUAAUCGAAUUUUGUUAUAUUAAGAGGGAGAGCUUAACCAAGAACUAGAACUGCAGUUUUCCAUUUCUUGAGCGUUUUUUCAAAACGUCAUAUCUGCAAUGAGUUACUCUCUUUGUUUACUUUCUCUUCUGUUAAUAAUUCGGUCAUUUUAACAUUUAUCCCUCAACUCUUUGCAUUAUAUGCUAGUUAAAACCACCGUAUUUCGAUCUGUACUGUAAAAUAAGUGAAAAGUGUUAUAGUGACGCCGUAAAAAUCGAAAGAGAAAGUAAACAAAGAGAGUAACUCAUUGCAGAUAUGACGUUUUGAAAAAACGCUCAAGAUUUUUCCAAUAUUUUUGACCCGUUUUCAAAUAUUUCACAAACACUCGUAAAGUCUCUAAUGUCAUUUUCGUUUUUGACUGUGCACUACACCGGUGUAGUCGGUGCUACACUCAUUCAAACUUGGGUGUAAUCAGUCUGUCUCUUUUUUUGCACUACACCGGUGUAGCACCAGGAAAAAAGGUGGAAACGCUAUAAGUGUAAUCAUGCUCUGAGUAGUGCAUUACGAAUCACACUGCCUCGUGUUCGCAAUGACCCGUUACGUAACACUCCAUCCCAAGAUUAUGCAGCCGUACACAUCGGCAGUCUUCCGUAUGCUUGUUUUCAAUCAAUCAGAGUAGUGACAACUACCGACUUUGGAUCGACACAGCUAGAAGCUAGAGAGAGAGAGGGGGAAAGAUAUCGAGGCCAAGUGCCACGGUUUGUCACGUGCCGCCAACUGUUCCCGAAACGUGACUCUCGGUCUCUCUUUUUCACUCACCAGUUCUCUCAUCCUCUCGUUUGAGUUCCUACGCUUCUGAGCUAGUAGUACAUUAGAAAACAACUUCCUCCCUAUACAAAACAAUUUUAUAUCUGUAAUACAGGCACCUCAGCCACUGAUCAUCGAUUCUCCGGUUGAGUGAGUGAGUGAUUGAGCGAAUAAGUGUGCACCGAAUGAGUGAUUAUAGCAUUUUUGAAAUUUCGAACGAAGCGGUUCGCGUCUCGAAUAACUGUUAUACCUACCUAAAAUGCACCAAACUAGUUGGGGUUAUGCGCUCCUCCGAUCGAUUCAAACUACCACCACAGUUCGAGAGAUUUUCGGCUACCGGGAUACACCCUGUGCUCGCUUUGUAUUCGCUAUUAGUGAACACAGCUGGUGGUAUCUCAGUGGCCCUAAUCCGAUUGCAGCUCAGAAACCACCACCACCACCGCUAGUGAGUGAAUCGGCGGUACCGCGUCGUCGAUGAGAGAACGGAAGCAGAAAAUGUUUGAAAGAAAGCUCCGCUGCUCUCUGUAACGUCUGUUGAGAGCGCGAUGGUGUCGGCGGAACUCGUGGGUGAAGCAAAAAAGAGUGGAAAAAGCUCUUUUGUGUCUAUUAUGGUGAUCGAUUUUAUAGCACGUAGUCACAAGGUACCCGGCGGCUGCAUCCACCACCCGUAGUCGCUCUCUUUUCCUCGGAAGAUGCACUUUUUUCGAGCUUUUUUGUUUUACUUUGUUGCAUUUGCGUCAAUGUUGUGGGGUGGAAUUACGACAGAGCUUGCUAGUGAAAAAUAUGAAUGUUUUCACGUCGGCGAAAUCUCCGAGCUCAGCUGCGGCAACCACGCAACGUUUUUUGGGCGAUAAAAAAUUCCUCAACAAACGUACGAUUAGGGCGUAUAAACCAACUGUCAAGCUUCACUUUGAGAGUGGAAAUUUCGGACAAACCGUUAUUCGCCAAUUACAGAUGUUGGUAGAAAUACAAAAGAGAAAAGUUUUCUCUUUCGAGUACUGUCUUCGGCCAGCAACGGUUCGUCCGGUAUUUCUUUUCAAAGACAAUUUUGACAGUUGGUUUUUACGCCGUAGUCAUAUUUUUGUCGAAAAUCGGUUGUCGGCGGUGGAACUGGGAUUGAGGUUCGCCCCCUGGGAAUUUCCAAGCAUGCUUUCGGUUGUCCAUGGAUUAAGUCUACUCAAAUUUUAAAGCUGCAAAUGAGAGACUCUGCUUACUUUCUUUUUCGAUGAUUGCAAGAUUAUAAAAUUUUACUAUCAUUUUACAGUACAUAUUAAAAUACAACAAUUUUAGUUAGUGUAUUAUGAAAUGAGUUACUUAAAACUUAAAAGCAGCCGAGUUAUCAACGUAAUGGAAAGUAAACAAUGGAAGGCUCUUAUUUGAAUUUACGUUGUUUUUAAAAGUUAUGGUAGAAUUAUAAAGUCACUCAUUCUUGGGUCUCAACGACAUUUUUCUAGCUCAACGUUUCGCAGCUGUGUACUACAUAUGUUCAUUAUGCAGAAAAGUAACAGUAGGCGGGUAUUUUUUUUUUUCAGAAUGAAAGUAGAAGCUCAACAGUCUUAUCCAGCAGCGUUGAUAUUGAUCCGUUUUGACAUUUUAACUAAGGAAAACUAAUUUUGUGCGUGGCGUAUUUGGAGGUAAAUAAACGACUCCUAAUGGAGAGAACGGUAGUGUAAAAAUGCGUGAUCUCAGGGUGCGUAUUGUAAACGUCACAUUCGAAAGGAUAGACCAAUAAACCUGAGCAACAUUUUCAAUAGGACGUAAGUAGCCUUAUUUUAUUAACAUUAUUUGUCGAAUAUUACUGAAUACUUGAAAAUCUUUUCACUAAUGUUCCUACACUCGAAAAUUAAAAUAAACAAAAAUCUCAUUGUUUAUUACGUCCAAUUGGAAAUUAACCAGGAAUUAUAAGGAUUAAUGCUGAUUAAUUAAUAGUGUGAAGAAACCCCAUGAAAUGUUUUGCUUAAAAAGCAAUUUUUAUUUUCCUUUUGUACCCAAUAAUAUUCACAACCUAGAAGUAGCGUGCCCUACUCACAACUUGAACUUUUAGGUACCGCUUAAUUCGAUUCAAUUUUUUCGCAACUUUCUCCCGAAUUUUGUUUGCCAGUAUUUUGACCACACCACUUGCUCCCAUCCAGAUGUACGGGACAGUAGCCUUCUACCCGAGAAAUCUGAUCUGAGUAACCGUAUCAGUCCUUGGUCCCCCACAGUAUUGCGCAGUAGUUCCGCGAAGCCACCACGAGAACCAGAAAAAGCUUUUGACCAACCAUUGACGACCAUUCAAUCAUGUAAGAAUCGACUCUAUAAUUAGGUUCUCUUUCGUGCCCCUCCCCCCUUUUCAUUCAUUUCUCCCACCGAAAAAAAAACGACUGCAUCGGCGGGGUGACUAGAGAAAAAAAAAUCGCAGCAGCCCCAAUUCAAAUUGCACACAUCCUAGUUCGUCGCUGUUGUGCUAUCUUAUGACAAACGCCAUUUUGGGGUAAACUGAGUUAGAUAUGCCACAUUACUCGUCUAACGAAUCUCUACAAGAUGGCGUUUCCAGAAUUUUGAAAUUUUGCUUGGUUACUGAAAUAAAGCGAGAAAAGUGAUAAGAAAUUGUGAGUUUUUUGUUUCAAAUCAUAAUAUCUUAGGAUUGGCUCAAGUUAUAAUAAAGUUUUAGUUGCUUUUAUGUGUAAAAAUGUCAUCAGAACACAAUGGCAUAAUAAUUUUCAAAAGAAAAAUGCAUGUAUUGGGAGAAAAACGCAGUUUUAUCUUUAAACUGGAAAUAUUGCCUAUUUGGCAACACUGUAACUAAAAAUAACUAUUUUUUCUAGAUUCCCUGACUUAUUUCCUUCAAAAUGCAUCUAACCGAUUGUUUAUAGGACAAAUUAAGCCAAAGAUAUGAAUAAAAGUUUAUAAUUGGUGAUUUUUUUCUAUGGAAAAUUUUUCAUGCACGAUUAUGACACGUCAUACAAAUUUUUUCAUCAAUACACACCUAUGACACGUGUGAGUGCGACUUUUGUUUACAUUUUUAGUGAAAACUCGCAACAUAGUCAACCGAUUUUCGUAAUAUUUGAGAGAUUAUUAUAGAAUAGGUAGAACCAUUAAUUGUCUUCUCUGAAUUGUUUCUACCAUUUAUAAGUUUCAUGAUAUUCAAUCUCAAACUUUAAAAAUCGUUUUUCUCGAAAUGUGCAAAAUGGCGCUUGUCAUAAGAUAGCACAACAGCGACGAGUUCUGGUAAUGUUAAUUUAGUUUUAUUUUUAUAACACCUUCGUUCAAUUGGGUCCCGUUCGCUUGCGCGCACUCGUUUUUAGUUUUAUUUUCAAUCCCUGCAUUGCACUGUAAUGCACUGACUGACUUGCCGCGAAAUUGGCAGCAGCAUCCAAGUGAACCAACCGAAAUUCCAACCCCGAAACAUCUUAACCUUUUUGACUUGCACAUCGAGCUGUAGCUGUUGCUUGCGUUUUUGUUUUUUUUUUUUGUUUUGGGAAGUGCACCCAAAUCAAGUCAAAAUUGAAACAAUCGUGUUUUUCUAUCUCUUUUCUUCGGCAUUCAACCCCUACCUCAUCGACCAAGCGAACAUAUUUGUGUACUACUAUUGUUUGCCAACGAGUCAAGGGCAAACUAUUUUUUUUUUGGUUCGAGUAAACCAACCUAAGCGAGGCCGCGCGGUUUGGGUAUAGACUAGGACAGAAGAGGGGGCAGUCAAAAUAUCAGAUUUGUCAUUCUCGAAAUGCGCUAUUUUGCUCGGUGCACUUGUUGGCCAAGGAAACCCAUUCCCCUCAGCGGACCUCCACUUAACCCGUGUUGAAGUGUUUUUUUUGCUCUCCUUCGACGGUGUUCGAAAAUAAAUCGAAACUUACAUAAAACAAACUGCAUUUGCCAAGUUUUCUUCUGCUUAGCAGAUUGCUUCUUUUUUUCUUUAAACCCUUGUGACGCGUUUCAUAUGCGCAUCAUGAGCAAAAAUUUCGAUUGAUUGAGGGAUUUAUUCCUGCAGUUUUGUUAGGAAAUUAUUAUGGAAAAAGGAAUGAUUAAAAAAACGACAAUUUUGAUACCCAAAAACUGGAGAAGGUAUCCUGCACAUCACAAACGAAAAAAAUCUAUUACCAUUUUCAUAAUUUUUUCAUAACGAUAAUUCGUGCCAUAAAUUCCAGACACAUUGUGUAUCUUAAAUCGAAUCGAAUCGAAUCGAUCGUGUUCCGUAUUACAGUUUUCGAUUCGAGAUUGAAAAUAGAUUUUUAUUCGAGUUUGUUCGAUGAAGUGCUAGAUUAUCGACAUUUUUCUGGUUUCAAAUUCAAAUUACUAAAAUCUUAUUUGUUGUGAUACGAUUUUCUGUAUGUUUGCCAUUGUCGACAGUAGGAAAUGUUUGCCUUAAAGAACAGCUCAUGGAAUAAAGAAUGGAAAAUUUCUACAUCUAUUGUUUUUUCCACAUAUUUUUCAAUGCAAUGACUAUGGUUUUUAAAUUGGAUCUUUCGGACCAUGGUGAUGGUAUUUUCAUGGGUUGAACCCGUUUCAAUCACUAUCAAAACACCAUGAUCCAGAUGAGUGAGAUUUUGCAGGAUGGUAACCAAAUAUCCAAUAAACAUUGUAACGUAGCAUUAUACUAGUUCUAUAUCUGCAUAUAGGGCAGGUCAUCAAGAGCCGUUAACUUUUAUACACUGAUUUAUUGCUGAUUUAUCAUUGCGCUGAGAUAGACAACAUGUUUUCUGAAUUACCUACGCUAUUGUGGAGCACCUUAUUCACAGAGUCACGUCACUUAGCGACUAGAAGGAAAUUUCCUUCUAGACACUAGGUGACGUGAUUAUGAGAAUAGCGCUCCUAAUGUAGAAAUGUGAAAAUUGAAGGCAUCUUAUCGACACUAUUCGUACGGUUAGACAUCUUUAGUGAGUCUUAAACAGAAGUACCUUGGAUCAUCAUUGACGGCAAGGGCUCUUCUUUUGCUGCUGAUAGCGCAUAUUGUUUUUUCGGGAAGCAGAAGGCAAAUGAUUAAAAAAUUGCGCUUUCGUUUACUUUCAGUACGUCAGGAACGGUUUUUGGAACAAAAGUCAAGUAAGUGGCUAUUUCUGGUGAGCAUUUGAUUGCUGAAUUGAUUGGCAUAAUUAUACACUGAAGACCCCUUUUUAUCCGCACCCGAUUUUAUCAGCUUUUUGACCCAAUUCUAUCAGCUUCAUAUGAAAAUUGAUAGUUGGUAGUAUGAUGGGCUCUAGCAGACGAACCAAGUUGAAUUCGAGUUCCUUUCUUGAGUAUAUUUUUCUUAUCUUAGAGAUCCGAAAUAUGCCAAAAAAAUUUGAAUAAUCAGGAAAGGUUAUGAGGUUAUAUCUUGGGACUAAAGAAAAAUAUUUUAAGAACUUCGGUUUCUUAAAAAGAAAGAAAAAUAUAUGUCCCGAUUUUGUCAAUGUCCCCGUUUUAUCAACCUAAAAUUCACCAAGGGGCUUAUAAAAAGGGGUCUUCACUGUACUCAGAAAUUUAAAAAAAUUAAGCGAAAAUAAAAUUAUAUAAAUUGAAAAAAAAAACAAGAAGAAAAUCACAAGGUUGAAAAAAUAUGGUAAAUGAAGCAAACAGAAGAAAAUUAAUGAAAGAGAUUGACUUGAUGUUAAAUCGGCUUUUUUUUAUAAUUCUUCGUCAAUAGCACAAAAUCGAAAAAAAUCCGACUUAAAUUGAUAUGUGCAUCAUUUGCAUAAAUUCAGGGAUUAAGUUGAUUAUACAGGGUGUUUGGUUCAUGGUUAAGAAUCUCUCGGGGGUGAUAGACUGCCAUAUUUGGAGAAAAAAAUAGUUCUACACAUACCAUCAAAUCUCAACCGUUACAGAGUUAUUGAACUUUUAGUGUAAAAAACUUAUUUGACUUAAAAUACCUCUAACUUUAAAAGUAUACUUUGUAUUUUAAAUGUUUUAGUUCCAUUCGAAAGGUGAGAAAAUUUCGCAUUGAGUGAUGUCCUCACAUGUUUCAGCUAAUGAGUUUAAGUAGCCUUUUCAAGGUAAUUUAAUGAAAAUUAAACAAUUUUAAACGAUUUUUCGUUCAUUUUUUGAAAAUCCUAAUAGUUAACCUCACCAUUUUAAUAAUUCAGAUUGUUAGUCUUGAUGAGCUGCUUAAUUCGUUCUUUGACAUGAUACACUUACCUUUUCUUAUUUUCAUGAUUUUGGGUUAUUCAACUUGGAUAUUUUUAUCUCAUUUUCACUAGUACCAGCUCUAAUUGAAAAAUUACGGCACUUUUUGUACUUUUUUUCUUUUUAUUCAAAAGCCAGGAAAAUUUUACAGUGAAAAAUGUAUUAAUACCUUUCAGUUAAGUGAAUUUAGUAUUCUUUUAAAAUUAAAUUAGUUUAAAGUUAGUGCUAUUAUUUUUUGCAUUUUCGUUAAUUUUCUUAAAAUAGUAAAUAAUGCAUCUCAGCAAGUUCUACAGUUCUUUCUUUGACGCCAUUCAAUUAUCUCUUUCGGUUUCGACGCAAAAUCGUUUUUAUCACAUCGUUUCAUAUGCAAAAAUAACGAUUUCGAACCAACUACAUUUGUGGCGAGCUCAUGCUGUGUUAACUAUUAAAUAGCAGAAAAAUGAAAAGAGAUAUAGAAAAAGUGUCUAAUAAAAAGUUAUAGAGAACAUUAAGGGGCAUCAAAUGAACAAUAGUAACGAUAAAUUUUGUUGAUUAAUAAUUAGAAUAAUUAAAAAACUCCAAAAAACACAAAUUUUGAGUUAUUGCGUUAGAAAAAAAUCAUUUAGACCUCUUAACAAAAAGAUAUUUGUACAUACACUGAUAGGACAUUUUCUCAGCUUUCCAAUGAAAUCUUGUAAAUAACGAUAUAAAGCAUAUUUUUUAGAUUAAAGUCUUUUAAGCACUUGCAAGUCGGUUACAGGAAAAGUAUAGUAAUGAAAUUACAAAGAAAUGAGAAGAGAUAGAAAUAUGAUGUCCAAGAACAAAUUAUGAAUCGUCCUAAAACCCAACUUUUGGAUAAUGGAUGUUGCUAUAAUCAUACUUCAUAAUUUCGAGAAAAUUAGCAAAAACCUCCUCAAAAACACUAACUUUUAACUACUUUACAGCUAAAAGGUAAUUAAAACUAAUUACUUAAAAGAUAUGAUAACACCAUUCAAUAGGAAAUUUUCUCACCUUUGGAACUGAAAUAUUUAAAAUACAAAGUAUACUUUUAAAGUUAGAGGUAUUUUAAGACAAAUAAGUUUUUUACACAAAAAGCUCAAUAACUCUGUAACGGUUGAGAUUUGAUGGUAUGUGUAGAACAAUUUUUUUCUCCAAAUAUGGCAGUCUAUCACCCCCCAAGAGAUUCUUAACCAUGAACCAAACACCCUGAAUAUAGUUGUUAAUGUUGAGUUCUGAAAAUAUUUUCCUUCUUGUCAUCAUGAGCUGUUCUUUUAGUAUCUUUCUAAAGUAUGUAUCUACAACAAAUUAUUAUCAUGUAGUAAAAUUUAUAAAACAGACGAUCAUAAUCCAAUCCAUGAAACUAAACACUACAGAUCCUUCCUGGCUGGGACUCGAACAUAGGAUGAGAGGCUUAUGAGACCAACGUCUUACCCUCUCAAUUCGCUAGACAGGCUAACAAAAUAUGAAAAAAAUGGAAUAAGAAUAAAAAAAAUUAAAAACUCUAGACAACAAAAUGAAAAUUUAUUUUUUUUAAUUAAAAGAGGGGGAAAACUCACAAAAAUCAAAAGACUAUUAGAAUUAGAUUAGAGAUUAGAAAGCUGGCCGGAAAUGUAUCAUUAUUGAUUUUCAAAAUAUUUGAGAAAAGCGGAAGAACAGAAGAUUUAAAAACAAUUAAAAUUAAAAUUGAAUAAAAUAAGUAAGCUUUAAAAAUGUACAAUAAAAGAGAUAAAAAUGAAAUGGAAACAAGAGAAAAAAUAAACACAAAUGUAUGGAUUGAAAGAAAGUUAUGUAAAAAAAUUAGAAAAGAAGAAAAAUGUAAAAAGCACAUAAAAAAUAAAGAAAAUAAUUAACAAAUGUAGCAAAAAUGUAAAAAAAACGAAAAAGAAAGAAGAAAAGUAAAUAUAUAAAAAUACUGAAAAAAUAAAAAAAAAUAAAAUUAUUGAAGUAUUAAAAACAAAAAAAAUUCGGUGUAGAAUAUUGGAUUUUAUAAAUGGGUUAAGCUGCACAAGGUCAAUAAAAAUAUUAGAACUAGAAAAAAAUGUUGACAACUAAUCAACAUUCUUAAUAACAUUAAAAACAUUUGAAGAAAUCUGAAGAUCUUAACGGACCACUUCAAUGUUAUCUGUGAUAAUAGCGCAUCUGUAUGUUUUCACGUUUUCCUAUGCAUUGGUAAUGUGCAUUGCCUCCAUUAUUCUUUGAUACCUAAAAUAAAAGUCGAGAAACAUUAAGAAACGCUCAGCGAAUCAAAAUGUUUAUCCGUUACGAAGAUUUCCUGUCCCAAAAAUCUGCAUCUCAGUUCAGAUCGCCGCAGUAUGGCGCUCUCUGACACUGCAGCACUCUGGGUCAUUUAUCUCCGUAAGUAAAUAAUAGAACUCACUCAACAUACCUUGAUCCCUUUAUGAUAAGUAUUAGAAGCUUUCCUAAUUUAUAGUUCCCUGAAAAAUAGUGCCGAAACAGAAAUUUCCUGUCCGUAAGUUUUGUGUAAAAACAUGUUUGUUUACAUGUCCAUCGGCAACACUAUAGCAUAUCAGAAGGCUUUCGAGCACUACGUGAAAAUCAUUAGAUUGUGGUCAAAAUUGGAUAUGUAAUCUUGCGAAACACACAUAUUGCAUCAUAGUAAAAUGUAAACAUGAAAUAAGUCUUUGAGAGUAAGUUUUAUUUCGGAAAAAGUAAUACAGGUAAGCAUUUAUCUCAUUUCUUUGAAAUAAAGCUAUGAACAUUUGCUAGCAUAAUUGACCAUUCAUUAUCGAUUGUUUGUUACAGCGUGAAAGCUUUUUUGGUAAAAUCAUAUCUCAUGGCCAGCUAGCCACAGUUUCGCUUGUUUGUUGAUACAAAUGACUUGACUUGCAUUGAUGUCAAAUUCUAAAUCUAGGCCGCAAGUUGAAAAGGGUUUAUAUUACUUUUGGGGAAAUGAUGUUUUAUUUUUUCACGUGCUACUAAGGGCAUUGUUGUACAUUGUACCUGUAAUGUAACUGUAUGUUUAUUUCGGAGAUAAAUUUGUAUCAGUAUAAUAAUUGCAAUGUAAUAAGCCGACAUCUAUCAUAUUGCACGACACAUAACAUGUGACUUUUGUAAGUAUUCUGUAUAACAAAAGAUAAACUCAAGUUUACCGGGUACCAUACAAGCGUAUUCAAAUUGAUGGUUCAUUGCAUGCAUGCUUGGCACAAUCAAUCGAAACAAACGAGGUGUAUUGUCAUGGAAAAUUCAGCCACGUUUGACGAAUAAAAUUAAUAUAUUCGUUUGAUAUAGAUCGUUAUUUUCAACUACUUACGAGGAUUACCAUUUUUUUCGUUCACUUUACGGACUGUGUGCAGGAGCAUGGUGUACGAUUACGCCCUUUUGCCAUAUGUUGUAUGCAAAAAAUCGUCAAAAUGUGUCAAUUUAGGCGUCAACAAAAACAAAGUAAAUCCAUCGUUCCCAAGAUUCGACACAAAACGGAACAUCGGAUGCAAAUGUACUGAAUUCAUGAAUUCUUUUUGAAUUGACCUCGGACAUUUCAUUACUGUUUUGAAAGACCAGUUCUAUAUCUCUGUACUGCCAGGUCAGGCACGUUUUCAAUAUUGGUAAAGGGUUACAGCAGCGUAUGAUCGAGAGCUGGUGGAUGAGUAAACAAUGCGAAGUCUUGUUUGUUAUAUUAUAAAUAACUGAACAAUUGUUUUUGUAGCUAGUAACCCUUCUAAGACAAAAUUUUGAAACAAAUCCACGUAAUGGUGUGGUUUAUAACAUUCAGUCAUGGUACUAGUCAAGUGAAUAGCAUGUUCGGUAAGAAACGACCAAGUACCAUGCGAACCUCAGAAACACGGAGAAGAGACAGAGGCUAGUGAUAUUGUAGUGCUGCCAAAGGACCAAAGCACCCUCAGUGUUUUCGAGUGGGAGGUAUUGUGAAACCUUUAUGGUGGGCAGCAGAUAUAACAUAAACCAUGAAGACAACGUAUGGAACACGAAUUGCGACAACUGCUUGAAUAACAUCCCCGUCGUUCAUAUAACAACAGCGGAUCCAACAGAAGGACAAGAGAUGGUCAGCGGGCGAAAAAAAUCGACAAGAUUGCAGGUGAUAUGUAGAGUCUUCCUUUCCUAGGACGACGUACGGUCAUCGACUAUGAGGACUAGAUACGCAGCAAUAGACAUCCAAUGAGACUUUCGUCGUAUGUUCAUGAACCGAUCUGCAAAUACUGUCAGUGUCGUGGUGUUCAUUUCCUGCAAUUGUCCUAUAUACUGAAUGUCUGCUUCGAAAUCUCUUGAAAGGCGCGGAUACAAUAUAGUUUAUAAAUGGAUAGUGUGGUACGCAGCUCACCUGGGUCCGAUUCGAAACCAUCGCACGGGUUUUCCUAACCCUGAACAAGGAGUUAUGGUUGAAAACUUCUUCAAUAAAAAAUCUGUUGAAGCAAAACUAAUUAUACCCAAGGACUUAUAAACAGUCGUUUUUUUUAAAUUAGCUAUACGCUCCACACACAGGGGUAAACGCUGUAUUGUAUUGACGUGAAAGUUUCCAGCUGGUAUCAGUAAUGCUUGGCAGAUGAUUAUUGGAAGAAAAGGCAACUUAGUAUCUGGAAAGCGUCGUCACAGUCAAUUACAUUGCAACUGACUUGCAUUGAAUUCUUCGAUUCUCCUAUAUAAUUUUUCUUUAGAAAUCAGUUUGAAAACCUACUUCAUUUCUCCAAUCGUUUUUGAAGAAGCUGAGUGGAUUCACACAACACCAGUGGUGAUAAAAAGGAAUCCAUGCUGCAAUUCAUGUAAGAACCCAAUUCGGUUUUUUGUUCAAUGCUGAAAAAACUUUAGGCACGCAUCUGAGAUCAGCUUCAUGCAAAAUCGACAUUAUUCGCAUGUUAUUAAUUUGUGUUACAACUAAAGGACCUUUUCAGAUGUAACGCUCAUUUAUUUGUAAUGCGUGUCUUGCCAUAACCCAUCAAAGUAAUCAACAGUGUUCCUAAAAUACUUUCAUCGUCGAUAUAAUUUUUCCGUUGAAGUGGUCCCUUAAGUUUUAAAAAUUGAAAGUAGCGAAAAAUAACUAAAUCAAAUAGAACAAACGAAAUUUAAAAAAAAAAAAUUGGGGCGCAAAAAUAAAAAAGAGUAGAUGCAAAUAUAAAAAUAUUGAAUAAAAAAUUAAAUUAAAAAUACAAAAAGAAAAAAAAGAAAAAAUAAAAAAAUGGAAAAAAGUUUAAAAAAAAUUAAAAUAACGAAAGAGAAAAAUGAAAAAAGACAAAUAUUAUUUAUUUUAAAUGUUGGAAUUGCAAAAUACGGCAUUAAUUGUUAAAAAUCGAAAGAAUAUGAGAAUGUAAAAAAAUUAUUAAGACUACCAAAACUUCUUAAUAAAAUUAUAAUCAUUCAAUAAAACCUGGAGAAGUGAAAUUAAAAAAAACUCAAAAUAGAAAUUUAUUAAAUUGAAUAAAUUUUAAAAAAUACAAUGAAAAAACACAAAAAUACCAAUAUAAAAAAAUACUGAAAAAAUAAAAAAAAAAUUAUUGAAGUAUUAAAAACAAAAAAAUUUCGGUGUAAAAUAUUGGAAUUUAUAAAUGGGUUAAGCUGCACAAGGUCAAUAAAAAUAUUAGAACUAGAAAAAAAUGUUGACAACUAAUCAACAUUCUUAAUAACAUUAAAAACAUUUCAAGAAAUCUGAAGAUCUUAAGUUUUAAAAAUUGAAAGUAGCGAAAAAUAACUAAGUCAAAUAGAACAAACGAAAUUAAAAAAAUGGGACCCAAAAAUAAAAAAGAGUAGAGGCAAAUAUAAAAAAUAUUGAAUGAAAAAUUAAAUUAACGAUAAUAUACAAAAAAUUAAAUUAAAAAUACAAAAAGAAAAAAAGAAAAAAGAUAAAAAUGGAAAAAAGUUAAGAAAAAAAAUUAAAAUAACAAAAGAGAAAAAUGAAAAAAAGACAGAAAUAUUAUUUAUUUUAAAUGUGCUGAAAAAAUCGCAAAAUAUUGAAAAAUGUUGGAAUUGCAAAAUACGGCGUUAAUUGCUAAAAAUCGAAAGAAUAUGAGAGUGUAAAAAUUUUUUUAAGACUACCAAAACUUCUUAAUAAAUUUAUAAUCAUUCAAUAAAACCUGGAGAAGUGAAAUUAAAAAAAACUCAAAAUAGAAAUUUAUUAAAUUGAAUAAAUUUAAAAAAAUACAAUGAAAAAACACAAAAAUGCCAAUAUAAAAAAAUGAGCUAAAAAAAUUUAAAUAUUGGAAUACAUAAAAAGCAACACAAUAAAUAAAUAAAAAAAUAUAUCAAAAAAUUUAAAAUAAAAUAGAAAGAAAAAGCAUAAAAAAUAGUGCAACAGCGGGAAAAAUUGCAAAAAAACUAGAACAAUUGGCCGAAAACUAACAUUGAAAACAUUUAAGAACUAAAGUUUAAAAUAAAAAUUAAAACUGAAAUAAAAAUAAA